rnacentral:rRNA from 1 species
UACAGAGGGUGCGAGCGUUGUUCGGAUUUACUGGGCGUAAAGGGCGCGUAGGCGGCCACCGCAAGUCGACUGUGAAAUCUCCGGGCUUAACUCGGAAAGGUCAGCCGAUACUGCGGGGCUAGAGUGCAGAAGGGGCAACUGGAAUUCUCGGUGUAGCGGUGAAAUGCGUAGAUAUCGAGAGGAACACCUGCGGCGAAGGCGGGUUGCUGGGCUGACACUGACGCUGAUGUGCGAAAGCUAGGGGAGCGAACGGG